UGGGUUGUAGCUCAGUGGUAAAGCACUUACCUAGCAUUUAUGAGGUCCUAGGUUCUAUCCCCAGCACUGCAA
rfam:Heterocephalus glaber contig2165, whole genome shotgun sequence.